AUGAUUUCCACAGGGACAAUCUCAUGUAACGGAACCUGUCCUGGUUCAACAAUGAUUUCCACAGGGACAAUCUCAUGUAACGGAACCUGUCCUGGUCCAACAACGAUUUCCACAGGGACGAUCUCACCCAACGAAACCUGUCCUGGUUCGACAGUGAUUUCCACAGGGACAAUCUCACCCAACGGAACCUGUCCUGGUCCGACAACGAUUUCCACAGGGACGAUCUCACCCAACGAAACCUGUCCUGGUUCGACAGUGAUUUCCACAGGGAUGAUCUCACCUAACGGAACCUGUCCUGGUUCGACAGUGAUUUCCACAGGGAUGAUCUCACCCAACAGAACCUGUCCUGGUUCAACAACGAUUUCCACAGGGACGAUCUCACCUAACGGAACCUGUCCUGGUCCAACAACGAUUUCCACAGGGACGAUCUCACCCAACGGAACCUGUCCUGGUCCAACAACGAUUUCCACAGGGACGAUCUCACCCAACAGAACCUGUCCUGGUUCAACAACAAUUUCUACAGGGACGAUCUCACCCAACGGAACCUGUCCUGGUUCAACAACAAUUUCUACAGGGACGAUCUCACCCAACGGAACCUGUCCUGGUCCAACAACGAUUUCCACAGGGACGAUCUCACCCAACGGAACCUGUCCUGGUUCAACAACGAUUUCCACAGGGACAAUCUCAUGUAACGGAACCUGUCCUGGUUCAACAACGAUUUCCACAGGGACAAUCUCAUGUAACGGAACCUGUCCUGGUUCAACAAUGAUUUCCACAGGGACAAUCUCAUGUAACGGAACCUGUCCUGGUUCAACAAUGAUUUCCACAGGGACAAUCUCAUGUAACGGAACCUGUCCUGGUUCAACAAUGAUUUCCACAGGGACAAUCUCAUGUAACGGAACCUGUCCUGGUUCAACAAUGAUUUCCACAGGGACAAUCUCAUGUAACAGAACCUGUCCUGGUCCAACAACGAUUUCCACAGGGACGAUCUCACCCAACAGAACCUGUCCUGGUUCGACAGUGAUUUCCACAGGGACAAUCUCACCCAACGGAACCUGUCCUGGUCCAACAACGAUUUCCACAGGGACGAUCUCACCCAACGGAACCUGUCCUGGUUCAACAAGGAUUUCCACAGGGACGAUCUCACCCAACAGAACCUGUCCUGGUUCAACAACAAUUUCCACAGGGACGAUCUCACCUAACGGAACCUGUCCUGGUCCAACAACGAUUUCCACAGGGACGAUCUCACCCAACGGAACCUGUCCUGGUCCAACAACGAUUUCCACAGGGACGAUCUCACCCAACGGAACCUGUCCUGGUUCGACAGUGAUUUCCACAGGGACGAUCUCACCCAACAGAACCUGUCCUGGUUCAACAACAAUUUCUACAGGGACGAUCUCACCCAACGGAACCUGUCCUGGUCCAACAACGAUUUCCACAGGGACGAUCUCACCCAACGUAACCUGUCCUGGUUCAACAAGGAUUUCCACAGGGACAAUCUCAUGUAACGGAACCUGUCCUGGUCCAACAACGAUUUCCACAGGGACGAUCUCACCCAACGGAACCUGUCCUGGUUCAACAAGGAUUUCCACAGGGACAAUCUCAUGUAACAGAACCUGUCCUGGUCCAACAACGAUUUCCACAGGGACGAUCUCACCCAACGAAACCUGUCCUGGUUCGACAGUGAUUUCCACAGGGACAAUCUCACCCAACGGAACCUGUCCUGGUCCAACAACGAUUUCCACAGGGACGAUCUCACCCAACGGAACCUGUCCUGGUCCAACAACGAUUUCCACAGGGACGAUCUCACCCAACAGAACCUGUCCUGGUUCGACAGUGAUUUCCACAGGGACAAUCUCACCCAACGGAACCUGUCCUGGUCCAACAACGAUUUCCACAGGGACGAUCUCACCCAACGGAACCUGUCCUGGUUCGACAGUGAUUUCCACAGGGACGAUCUCACCCAACGGAACCUGUCCUGGUUCGACAGUGAUUUCCACAGGGACAAUCUCACCCAACGGAAACUGUCCUGGUCCAACAAGGAUUUCCACAGGGACGAUCUCACCCAACGGAACCUGUCCUGGUUCGACAGUGAUUUCCACAGGGACGAUCUCACCCAACGGAACCUGUCCUGGGAAUGAAGUUUAG
ensembl:lncRNA